ACACUCUGUGUGGAAGAAGGAUUGAGAGUUUGGUGGACUAACUGUUACUUCAACUCCUCAUAUAGCAUUUAUUGCAGUGGGGAGGGAAAAACAAACAGAAAAGUUCUGUAAUGCAUAAGCAGAGAGAGCUAGUUGAGGCCGGAGAAGAUUCUUCCAACUGCUAAUGCGGCUGUAGAAUAUUGUAUGAGAUACCAGCUGGUGAUAUUAAAAAUCAACAGUAACUAUUACAGAUGUGAUCAGAGGCUGUAUUGAAUGAUCUACUUUUCCAGUCUGAGAGGUGCUUCCUUGAGGUCAGGAGUAAGGUGAUGAACCUUCACCACACAUACAUAUGCCAGAUGUCUGAAUCCUCCCUGCUGGAUAUGAGCUUUUUCAGAAGACAAAAAUCAACAGCUCAUUACCAUACAGUGAGCUUUAGUUAAUAAUACACACUCAAA